rnacentral:lncRNA from 1 species
AGAAGCUCAGGUGUGAGACUGUAUGUGUGUACAACUGGGGAUGUGUGAUCAAGUGAGUGAGUGAGUGCAAAUGUGUAGGAGGUGGCCCUCUGAUUGUGGUCUCCAUGGGAGAGUGUGUGCCCAUGCAGAAUUAUGUGGUGGAGCAAGCAGCACACACACACAGACUCACAGGGGCAGUCUGCAGCAGAGGUCUCAGAAAGGUAGAGGUUAGGCAGAAGACUGUUUCAUUGCAUGGCAUGGCAUGGCAGACACUUCUAAUUCUCCUUAUGUUGGUGCUGCUGUUUUCUUUUGCUGUAGAUCAUAUCAAAUAUGAAACCUAAAGUCCCUCAUGUAUGGCUUCUUUACCCCCUUGGGUUGGGGGUAUGAGUAGUAGGCUUUGAGUACACUGCAGUUGAAAUUCUACCUCUUUCUUAUCACUUUCUGCUCAUCACAUGUGAUGCACAUGCUGUUCAUGCAGGGUUGGGCCUUGGCACUAGCAAUAAGACAAAAAAAUAUCAACCACAACCCAUCUUGUCAGCUUAGUUGCACACAUGCAGACUUUCUAGCCUACCAAAUUCCAUGGGGACUCUCCCAUGCAUCAUGAAAAAGCUGUCCCCAACACACAGCUACCUGCACCCAUGCAUAUAUCUUCACAACAAUAAUAUGAUGCCCUGAAAGUUGUAGUUUUGAACAUACUUUUACUUGACCAUGUUCAAGAGCAUUCACCUCCCUGACAAGAUUCUUACAGACUACAAAGGGUAAGACCAACCCUUCAUUAGUAAGGUGAGGGACCAGCAUUAGCAAGUUAGGAAACUAGUAUGAUUCAAGCAUUCAUUCAUAUGUUCUUUUAGAUCAAAUAAAUAAAUAAAUGUCAUUGUUACAU